AGACUGUCUCAAAACAAACAAAAACCUCCUUUAUUGUAUUGCCAACAAAUCUUUCACUUAAUGUCCCCCCUCACAUACUUUUUUUUCUUCUUUUUUUUGUUUCCAGGCCUUUAUUAAUCUGCUGUGUGCUCACCAUUUUCUCUUGGGAGUGGGUGACACCCAGUCACAGUAGCGGAGGGAGGGGGCGUCUUGGCCCAGGCUCUGGGGUGAUGAUGUAAUCGGCUCUGCAGGCUGGAGAGAACUAACUCUAUGGAUAAAUAUGCAAACCCAGGAGGUCUGCCUGGCUCAGGAGGUGGUCCUUGAGUACUACCUCCGGCCUUCUUUCACACUGCAGGAAUGGGGAACCACUUUUCUGAGCGUCCCCCUUCCCCAGGGAAUACAAGAGAGACUAGAGAGCUCCAGUGAGUCCCAAGGGUGAAGAUUCUUUUUGACCUUCCCUUAGUAAUCCUUGGCUAGGAGAUGUGCUUAAACAUACGGUGGAAUUUUCUGGAAUGUUGUAAGCUCUAGUCAGAAAGGAUGAAGGGCCUUCUGGCCAGAAUUUCUGUGCAGAAUUCUGGGACAGUGCCCUCUUGAAGUUCCCAAGAAGCCCUGGUCUGAAGCCUAAGUCUCACUGGCCUGUCUGCCUGCCCCUAGGAGUCACUGCAGUCUUCUGGUCCCAGGUCGCCGGUUCUCAUCAUCCUGGCUUGGCACUGGCUACCUAUCCCCGUGUUAUCCCACCACCCAGGGUGUUGUGUUUUGUUAGUUUUGAGUCAGGGUCUUGGCACCCAGUCCAGGCUGGCCUUGAACUGCAGGUCAUUUUUGCUCAGCCUCGCGAACGAUGGGGUUACAGAUAUGUGCCAACACACCUGGCACUGCCCAGGCUUUGGGGUUCUCUCUCCUCACCCUUGCUAUAUGCGUGGCUUUGAGGAAGAGCCUGUGCUCUCUGUCUUGGCUCUUCACAAGGGGCCCUGCUGAAGAACAGCCUAGCCCAUUUGACCUCUCGCUGACCUCCCUCCCCAGUGUGGAGUUUUCUCCAGGUGCUAGGUGAAGGUGGACACAGGUGUUUCUGGUAAGGGCUUGUGAAUUCAGAUCUGAGUGCCAGAGGGUUGGGUGUUGGGUCAGUCUCUGCACUUCCUGGCCGCUACUAGGGGGGCGGGUGGCUUAUCCUUUUGAGACCUCAAUUUCCUGCCAGUGCAGAGUUAUGCGAGAUGACGCAGGGGAAACAGACGCAUCAGUGUCCCCGACACGUAGAAGCUUAGGACAGGUGGACUGCUUUUGAUAUCAUAAUCACACUAGUUUGACCUACCCCAGGGGUUCCUGAGACCACAGGGGAACGUGGAAGCGGUAACCAGGGGGGGGGGGGCGUGCAAGGCCAACCUGGUGUUUUCCAGUUAUAUCUGGUCAAUUGAGACAGCUCGUCAGAGAAGCCUGGGAUGAAUUCAGAAUGGGGAAAUGAAUGACAGUUAAGUACCCAAGCCCGUGGGUGUGGGUGUGUGUACGUGUGCAUGUGCAUGUGUGUGUGCCUGGCCAGGCCCGGUCACGUUCCCCUGUCACCUCAUUCUGCUCUCUGUGAACCCCAUGGGUCCAUCUCUACUCAGAAGCACAGUGACUCCCCUGUUGGGCUCACUUCGUCUGGCCCCCUCCACCUGUCCAGUCAUGACGGCAUAGCAGCCGGCUACAGAUUGUCUCCGAACAGCUGGAGUGGCUGGGCAGAGCCAGACUGCAGGUGGACUCUGCCGCUGCAUAAUGGGGGGGAGCCGGCAGUCACAGGAGGUGUUGAUGUGGGUGGAAGAAGGGAUUGAAUGGAGUCCUUACAUCCCUAAACUCGAUAUACCUUUCUCUUGCUGCCCCAGAAGGGGGGGCUCAGUGAGCCAGGACAUAGAAGGACACUAAGAAACAUCCCUUUCGCCUUCCCUAUUUAUUCUUUUGAUAACUCGCUUCUCCCCCAGCUCCCUUUUCCCCUCUUCCUGUCAGGCUCCUCCUUCCCUGUUGGGUCUGCAGACUUCAGAUGCUGCGGGGAGACACUGACCCACCAGAGGGCAUACUGGGAAGGUAUUGUUGCGGGGUGAUGUGGGGGCUGCCCUGAGUUAGAAAGAACUGGGGAGUUAGAAAGAGCAAAAAGCAAGGAGCCCUGGGCACCCUGGGGAGAAGCCACCAAGGGCAGAGACUUGGAGCUGGUGGUGGCUGUGGCCAAAGGGUUCAUAAGCCAAGCCAGCUGCCGUAAUUUUAGCUCAGUCAAAAGCCAGUGAAGGGCGUUGUGAGUUAGUUUCAGUUAGUGUUAUACUCUGGGAGUAGCCCCGGCUGGCAUUUCAGAGUCAACUGUCUACCCUCACAGCUGGGGGCCAAAGGGUCAGGGCUGGAGGGUCAGAGGUCAUUUGUUGGUAGAAAGCGGGUUGCUGAAGGUCAAGAAGUGCGGUACAGCUCCUCUAUGCCAGACCAGCUCCGUGGAGCACCAGCCUGGCUGCGUCUUUCUGGAAUGAGUCCUCUGUGACUUUAGGGCUAGCUGUUGGUCAGGGUGACCUUGAGAAUUGCCACGACUGUUUUCCUGACCUUGACAGGAGUUUCUCCAUGCUCAGAGCCAUGGUAGGAUGCCUGCUUUGUGUUUUGUUCUAGAAGUUUGCCGUGGAUAAAUCUGGGGUUGAGACUUGAUUUCUGAUGAGAAUGAAACUUCUGGUCCUCAUAGGCCUGAGAACCGAACACGGUACAGGGUAGUGCUGAAGGGGCCAGAGAGACCCCAGAGAUGCCCAUCAAGUCAGCAGUGGAAGAGUACCCCAACUGGGGUCCCCCAGAGACUAGCUGCCCUGAGAAGGUUUUGAUUCCAUGUUGAGUUCCAAUGCUUCUGUCCAUGAGAUACAGACUGAUAAAUCACGUCUUCCUAAAAGUGGAAAGGAUGUUGUCAUGAGCACUCAUCAAAGUGAAUUGGGACCAUGCGAGGACAUGGACAUAUUCAUAGCAGGAAAACGAAGCCCAAGAACAGCACGCUCAGGACACCGGAGAAGACUGGACUCCAACGAAAUGCAGAUCACGAGGGAAUGAACCAGAAAUGGAGGAAGUCAGGCAACCUGUCCCCAUUCCAGAAAACCCAAAUGACCUUUGAUUGCCCCAUACUCGUGGAGCUAAGUCUCAACAAUCGAGGAGGUGGUGGUGCUGAGUCACAGAUAGGGCUUCACAGCGCUGAUCCCAAGGCCAGAGUGAGCAGAGCUGUCUGGGAAGCCGUGGAGAAAGCACCUCUUGAGUUUCCCAGGCAGCUCUGAUGUGGGGCAGCCUGGAGCGCUCGGGAGCCCUGUUGGUCAGCUGUGAGAAGGGCCUGAAGAGGGACACAUCUUCAUGAGGUCCUGGGGAGGAGACAGAACAGGGAAGUAGCUGUGGAGGAAAUUGGGGCCAGAUAGCCGAGGAAGCUCCAGUUUCUCAUGAGCAGAUGAUGGUACAGAAAGCAGAGGCAGGUUUAGAAGCUUGAGAAGAACAGACACUGGGAGUAAGACAUCUGGGUGGAAACCGAGGAAGCCGAGGGACUACGAGGGAUGUUAGGGGUCAGGUGAGGUAUCUGUGGCAUCCCAGCAUGUGGCUCAGGCAAGACAUAGUCCAGGACUUCCGACUUUCAGUGAUAGUAACCUGACUCCAAGUCGCUUAAGCAAAAGGGACUUGUUAGCCCAUAUCAUAGAAAUACCACCAACACUGUAUAGCCGCCCUGUCCUUUCACAAGAUGGAUGGAGGCAGGCUUCAGAAUGUCCUUGGGCAUUUAUCACCUCACCUCAACUCCCAUCUACCCUAGAUUCACAUACAAAAUCUCAGGGAGGGACUUUCACUGGUCUCUCUGUGUCAUCUGCCCCACCCUAGACCAAUGACCAGAUUCCAGGGUUAUUAUGACCUGGGUCAUAAUUCUCCUUCUAUGGAUAGCAGCCCCCAGGAACAGCUGGGAAGGAUACAUCCUUCGAAGGAGUCUACCAUCCUUCCCACCCCCAGACAAGGUUUCUCUAUGUAGCUCUGGCAUCCUGGAACUCCCUCUGUAGACCAGGCUGGCCUGAAAUGCAGAGAUCUGCCUGCCACUGGCUCCUGAGUACUGGGAUUAAAGGUGUGAGCCACCUCUGCUGUGAGUCUACCAUUCUUAACAACUCUGCUCGGGAGGUUCACUCGACACCUCGGAGGUUUGCCACUUAUGCCAAGGCUCCAGCUCGGAUAUAAGACCAGCUGCUCUGAUGCAGAGCCCAGGAGGAAGGAGGAAGGGGCGGUGCUGUGUGGGCAACUCCUUCAAGUUAUCUAGACACCUCUUUCUGGGGUGGGGAGGAGCCCUGGGCUAGCCAGUGGAGGGUGGACACAACACCUCUGGGGCUGGCCAGCUUUCCGAUUCCUUUUUGUGCUCAAGCACAAAUAAGCUGCUAGUCUGGGGGCAGCCGAGGUUACCCAUGGCUUUGAAAGUAUGGAGUGGCUGUCACUCAGAGGAUACAACUCAG